rnacentral:rRNA from 1 species
GACGAACGCUGGCGGCGUGCUUAACACAUGCAAGUCGAACGGAAAGGCCCUGCUUUUGUGGGGUGCUCGAGUGGCGAACGGGUGAGUAACACGUGAGUAACCUGCCCUUGACUUUGGGAUAACUUCAGGAAACUGGGGCUAAUACCGGAUAGGAGCUCCUGCUGCAUGGUAGGGGUUGGAAAGUUUCGGCGGUUGGGGAUGGACUCGCGGCUUAUCAGCUUGUUGGUGGGGUAGUGGCUUACCAAGGCUUUGACGGGUAGCCGGCCUGAGAGGGCGACCGGGCAGGUUGGGGCGGGGAUACGGCCCAGACUCCUGCGGGAGGGAGCAGUGGGGAAGAGUGCGCAAUGGGCGGAAGCCUGAUGCAGCAACGCCGCGUGCGGGAUGACGGCCUUCGGGUUGUAAACCGCUUUCGCCUGUGACGAAGCGUGAGUGACGGUAAUGGGUAAAGAAGCACCGGCUAAGUACGUG